UGAAGUCGAAGCCAUCAUGGCCGCCAGCUCCGACUCCCUCCCGUUGGAGGAGAUUGAACGGGCUGUAACGGCAGGUGUGCGGGCUGAGGCUCCGCUUCAAACUGCCGUUCUGUCGUAAACACCAUUAAUGAGGAGUCAAGUAGGUUUAAAAAGAAUAUUUCUGUGGCGCCGGUGGAGAAUUAGUUGGCUAACUAUACUAGCUAGCCGAAGUUACGUCCAGGCUAAAAACAAAAGUUUCCAGAUCAGGUGUGGGCGGGGUUGGCGCACAUUGUUUGAGGUGAUUGAGUUUGCGUCUCUGAUCUGAGACCAGCGCUGUUUGAGGGGAGGGAUGGAGUCUACUUGCCCAUUCAUUAAUAUUCAGUUUUACAUUUUUUUUACACAUUUAACAUUUAGCAUUUAACAUUUACAUUUAACAUUUACAUUUAACAUUUAGCAUUUAACAUUUACAUUUAACAUUUAAAUUUAACAUUUACAUUUAACAUUUACAUUUAACAUUUAACAUUUAACAUUUACAUUUAACAUUUACAUUUAGACUUUUGCACAUUUAACUAAAUGUGAGAAAACAUGUUGUGUCAUUUAGUUAAAUGUGAGAAAACUAGUUAUAGGUGCUCCUUUUAUAUUUGGCACCCCGUAACAAAAACAGCUAAAUCUAAUCUAAUAAAUAAAUAGUUUUACGUUCAAGAGAUAAAAGAAUAGCUUAAAGUUAUGGAAACAUUUAAUACAUCUGAAAGUAGAGUACAGGAAAAGGUUGGAGCUUUGGAAGAAAAGUGUGCAGGUAAUUUUUAAACAGUAAAAAGAGUCUUAACUAGUCAUAAUAAACAUUUGAAAGCAGAAAUACUGCUAUUUCUAGCUAAGGAUUUGGAUUGGUUGUGCAUCGCUGACAAUUACGAAAAAGCUAUUUUAAAAAGAAGGAAGUAUUCGUGGUUCAUUGCUAACUCUUAAAAAGUUUAAUAACUUGUCAAAAUUAACCAGUAAUCACGCAUGACAUUACGCACUCUAGCUCACACAAUAAACACUAAUGGAAAAGCUGAGAAUUCCUCAAAAAAAACCUAUGCCUAAACUUCUAUAAUUGAAAGUAUUAAAGAUAUUAAAAAGCUGAACAACAGAUUAAUAGUUGAAGAUUAUUUUGUAGUUCAAAUGGUGUCUGUAGCUUAAAGUAUGCUGAAGUAGUUAAAGCUGAAAGUAGACAAAGCUGAAUAGGAUUUGAAAAGUUGUUUCAAUACAAUUCAAUGGAAAGAAAUUGGCGAAAAAAGCUUAAUAACUUGAAAAAUAUGAAACAUAUGAAUGAGAAUAAUAAUAGCCCACAUCGUUUUAAAAAGCUGCAAAUUUUAACCCUUCUUACAACAAUAUCAUAAUACCUAUCACAAAAAUAAGACAACGUUUUGAAUGCCGAGGCUUUAAUAAGCACCUGGUGUGAGUUUUAUGUUUGAAGACUCUUUGGGCUUUGAGGCAGCUACAGACUAAAGUAUAGGUCUGAGGGCUUAACCAGACACAUCAUUAGAAAGAAGACAGGUAUGACUACGAACGAAUAAAGAAAAUAUGUUCAUAGAGUGAAAACUGUGGCCAUAAUGACGAGUUAAAGACAGAAGCCCUGUCUUAAAAAAAAUGGGCCCUCACACUCUAGCUGUAUACACACACACUGAUCGCAAUACACACACUAAUGGAAAAGCUGAAAAUAUACCAAAAAACUGCCAAUAUUUAAACUGCUAUAAAUCAAAAGGUAUUAAAGAUGUUAAAAAGCUAACCAGAAGAUUAAUAGUUAAAUAGCUGAAGACGGUGUCUGUAGCUUAAAGUAUGCUGAAGUAGUUAAAGCUUAAAGAAGACAAAGCUGAAGUAUUUGAAAAUUCUUUUCCAUUUCAAUAGAGAAAUGUUUAUUAAAAAAAGCUUAAAAUUUUGAAAAGUUAAAGGGAAGCAAAAGUCUCCUCAAAAAGCUGAAUAUUUUGAUAGUUGAAUGGUUUCUGUAGCUGAAACUAUGCAGGACUAGUGCAGAUAAAAUACAGAAGAACGAAAAAAAAAAUAAUGAUUACAAUAUCAAUACAGUGAAUGCUUGUGACAUUCUGCCUCCGCGCCGCUAGAGGCGCUCCUGGGGCUUUUGGUGUGGGUCUGUGUUGUGUUUACAUUUCCUGUUUAAUUAGUUGACCCACCUGUUUUGUUAGUAUUUAAGGCAUGUCCUUGUGUUAAGACACCGUUGGUGUGUACGCGGUUGUAGCCUGGAAGCUACACCAUUGUUACAUGUUAAAGCGCGAGUGUUUAGAAGUGGAGUUCCUUUUGUUCAUUUGAUGUCCUGUCUCACCAGUUAAGAGUUCACACUUUCCACAUUCUGGGACCAGACUGUACCUAUGGACAGGAGGUUGGAGGAGUUGGUGAGGCUGACACCCGUUGACAUGUUGCCCAGCUGCCACAGGAUGCUGCUGAGGUCCCUGCUGACCUGCUGUCCCAGAUCCUCGGCCACCAUCAGGCGACUGUACAGGGCCUCCAUAGCUGGCAACAGCCCUGCAGAAGCUGGGCAGAAACACACAGCAGCUGCUCAAGAUGUGCUUUUGUUCUGGUAAUGAACUAUAGUUAUAGGUGAACCUGAAGAACCUGAUCAGAGAGCAGCUGAUGAGAAGGUGGAGCUGAAAACCUGGCAAGGACUUGGUGGAACAGAACAAAGAUAUGAGUGGUCAACUCUGACAGAAUGAAGAAGUGAAAAUACCAAGCUGGAAACAACCUCUGCUUGUCGGCAGUCUGUGCAUAAACACACAUACAUCCAGGCCGUCUGUGUCAAGACCAACCUGAAUUACCUGCUUUGUGGCAAAACCAAGCUCAACGAGGGGGACUAGCGCAUCUGACUGUUGACACUGUCCCAAAACUCAAACAGGAAACUUCUACCUACUUACAAUGGGACCAGUCACAGAGUUGGCCAGAACCUAGAGUCCACUCCACUAGGCUGUAGCUCAUUGAAACAGAUUCACAUUUUUCAGGCCUGCCUUAAAACAACAGUUUUGCCCUCGGACAGAUUCCAUAACAGGUUGUGCUUGUUGUAACUAAUCCUCCUGUUCAUGGCGGCUGUGAAGAGAUCGCUUCCUAAAAGUCUUCGAUGGAAGUGAAAGGUUCGAAAAGGUAUUGUAAUAUGUCACCAUAGGCGGAAGGAAAGAUAAAUGUGGGGUCGCAGCAGACAGAGGGUGAUUAGGGAUUACUCAUUAAAAAACAGAACUUUAGAACGUUUCAUGAGAAAAAAAACUCUCAUCUUCUGUUCAGGUUCUGAAUUGCAAAUGCAUGUACAUCGAGUCUUGAGUCACAAAAUCAAUUACAAUUACAUGUUUAAAAGGUUAUAAUUUCGUAGCUUUUAAAAUUAUAAAACAUAAUGCUUAUUUACUACAAGUAAAUUCCAUUAUCUGUGGGUCCAAUUUACUUCAACAAAAAAGUCGGGCUGUUUAAAUAAAAGUUGUCACUCAUGUAAAUAA